UCUUUUAAGAUAUUCAGGAGAUAAUUAAAAUUCAAAAUGUUAACGGUGCUACUUAUUUUUAGAACCCGACAUAAAUAUGGGCAGACGAAGAUUUGAAAAUAAAUUAAUAGACCAGAGUGCUCUCAACCACUGUGGUAAAAACGUUGGCAGACACCUGUUGUAACCCUCCUUUGUGCAGUCUGCUCAGGGAAGAAAAUCUCCCUCCAUGUCUCGUGGGGCAUUCCCACCUGCCAGUGCUGGGAGCAGCAGAGGGUGAUACCUUGGUGCAGAAUGCGAGACACUUCUCUUCCUUAACUCAGACACUACCAAACCCCAGUAAAAUGUUCUGUCAUCUCACAGUGGCAGAAAUCUGUCUUGAAACUUCAAUAAAAGUCAGCAGCACGCUUGAGCUAAAGUUGGUUAAAUGUGUGAGGAAGGUGCCCUCUGUAAGCACUUUUUACCAUUCUGUUAUGCAGCCACGGUGCCAGGUUGUCUUUUUUGAGCAGUUAUUCAAACUUUAUGUCGAAAGGGGAAGGUGAUUUCUAGCUCAUGUAUUUGGUGUCUGCUUUACAAACCCAGGUGGUUCGUGGAUUAGUUUCUAAGUAAAAUACUGUUUUCUGAGGGUCCCGCAUAAGUGCACAUUGAAUCUCUCGAUCCUCAGUAAACUCCACUACUGCAGGACCCUUAGUGCCAGUAUAGUAUAUUGUCUGUGUAUGUAUUUUUAGCCUGCUGAGAGUGCUACACAGCCCCUUCUGAAUUGUGCUAACCCUUUUUCAUAGCACACCACAACUCAUCUAUUUACUUCUACAUUGCCCCCAUCCCGUAAUUUUAUAUUACCAGCUUCACAAGCAAGCAGAUUUUUGUGCCUAAGAUGGGAUGUAGGCAAAAAACAGCAGUCAAAGAGCAACACCCAAUCUCCUCACUUGUGCAAGCUAUGCCUAACCAUGGUAAUCACGAACUGCUUACCAACAAGUUGCAGCAUUUCUGUAUGCCUGUCAUCUACAUUCACCUUUAUCAUGCCUUACAUGAAAGCAUAAUUGCAGUUCCAGAGCUGAACUCCUCAUGUGGGCUCCUGGUUUAAGCUGAAAGAAGUCAAGAUUUCUUUGGUCAGAAAGAAGGAGCAAAGUGGUGUUUGGUUGCUUAGCCUUAUGACCGAGGAUGAGGGAGGCCUACGUAUCACGUUUGAAGACUGCUGAAGUCUUGUAGCUAAGGACCAUUCAAAGAUGAACUCCUGACUUUCCCUAACGGCUAGUGUAGGUGCCUCUUUGUUCAGCUUUGGUGCUUCCAAGACACCUUGUUAAGGUGUUUGGCUUAAGGUGUUGUGAAUGGAUUCUUCUUUGGGGCUCAGAGAUUGCAAAGUUGCCCACAAUGCUCCAGCACAAAUCAACGGGGUCUGAGGCUGUCAUCCUGGCCUGGCUAUCCACCCUCACAUCAAAUUCAUCAUCGACUGCAACCUGAGAAGGUUGCAGGGAAGGUGGUUGCCAAAGCACAGAGGCUCACACAAGGAAGCAGGCUGGAAGCAGGGACACGUGGCUCUAGGGCUGGAUGGGUCAAGACCAGCCCUGCUGGAGAUGGGACAAAGUGCCCCAUGGCUCAUGGCAUGAGAUCAGCCUCCGUGCCUCGCCUGUGGCCACACGCACUGAUGGCAGAGCAGAGACAGAAACCUGGAUCCAGAAGUCCAGAGGGCUGAGAUGUGGCCAGCUUUUGAGGCUUUGGAGAAGGCAGUCUUGUUUUAACUCAGCUUGUGAUUUCAGGGCAUGUUCAAGAAGCGGUUUGCAAAUCCAGAGUGGCUUCUAACAGCACCCCGGGCCUUUGAUCUCUGACUCUUGCAGAGAAGAACUUCAGAACCUGUGAAAGCUGAGAGAAACCACCCCUGUCGCUACCUGGUGCUCACCAGCUUCACCAGCAGAGUUGCCCCAGGAGCGGUGAAACAUAUCGAGUUUUAUCUGCGGGAUGAGUGUGAAAGGACGAGAAGAACAACUUCUCAUGAAUGAAGAAUCAUCCAGGUUUGUAAGAACUUUCUCGACAGUCCUAAGAGCAGCACUGGGCUGAAGUAACUGCAGCAGCAUCGUGGUUUGUCUCUUUGCAGCCUGAGGUCUGCCUGACUGUCUCCUGCCGUGGAUAGUAACUGAUAAAUAUUCGCUGUUAAAAGCGGUUCAGCGUUCUUGGGGAUCUUUCUUAGUCAGCCUGACCACCUCAGGUUGAACAGCUCUCAGAUUUUGGUUUACACACGGCAGCUUUGUUACAGAAAUAAAGGACUAGUCAAAAGCACCUCCAUACACGCCCAUGUUUAAAGGAAAGUAAAACCAGUGCAGUGCUGGGGCUGUAAUAAUCAGUCGUGUACACAUUAUGGUCAGCCCUGGUUGACCACGUGGUAGUAAACAGUCAUCUGGAAAUGGGUGUUUGAGGUUUGCAGGGAGGUGUUAUCAGUACUUGCAAUGUUACAUUCUGCACAACAGAGCGUUUUUCCCAUCAGUUGGGUCCAGGAUGAAGUGUGUGCAAGAUCUGUCUAGCUGCUUCACCAGUGUUGUUCAUUAUUUUCUUUUUGGUUGAGCUGAUACAAGUAUGAGUGAAUCUCACUAAAUGACUCCCCUUUGAAAGUGGCUGCUGGCCAAUCUGCAGUCAAACAUCCUUCCUGUUCUUUCAUCGAGCUGCAGCGAGUGGGGAGGGGAGCAAAGCCGUGCAGGGCUGCUCGGGACUCAUGUGAAGCAACAUGCCACGCUGCAGAACAUUAGGAUUUGGGGAGUGGUGCCCCAGGCAUUCGUUUUCUCCUGGUCUUCAUCUUGCUUUUUUUGUUUUUUCCCUAUUUGCCAUAUCUGCAUUUUGUUUGGGUUUUCAGCUACUAGAUUCACCAUGUUCUAAUGAAACAUGAUUUCUGGUCUUUUGUCAGAGCUCUGGGGGUUUGUUGGUCCUUUUGGGUUUUGCGUUUCUUUUGUUUUCAGCUCAGUUUGUUUUGUUUGAAUUUUUGUUGGGAAGAGGUUGUUUAUCUGAUUUAUUGGACUGGGGUGUUGCUCGAGGAGGAUUUUGCCAUGCCAGUGUCUUUUCCCUUUUUCCAAAUUGCAGUUCCCACCAGUAUGUUAUUUCAGUCUUAACUGAAGAUUUUCUCUCUGGCCAAAGAGAAUGUGAUUUAUGUUAUCUGCUCCGUGACAUAAGAAAUUGUGCAUUGUGACCCUGGGAUAGGACUGUGCAGUGGUAGCAGUGGGACAGCGAUUCUGGCAGGAGAUGGGAGCAAACAGAGAGGCCGUGUCUCUUCAGACCUGCUCACAGGCACCAACUUUUCCACUUAGGUUUGCCCCCCAAGGUGAAAACUUAGGGAAGGAGCGCUCAGGAGAGCACGGUGCCUCCCUGAGCAUGAAGAGGAGUGAGUGCUUCAACCUUACGCGAUGGAGCCGCCAUCCUGCGUACCUGGUGGGUUCAGGGAGGACAAUUUCACUACUGUGUCCCUGCAGUAUUUAAUGGCUGUGCAAAAUUGCAAGAUUUUUUCUUGUCCUGUCCCAGGAGCCUUAUGCUUGCUGUGCAAGGAUGCUUGCUGUGUGAGGCCACUACCAGUGUGUUGCCCAGGGCCACUCUUCACUUGGCCUGGGGGAAAGCGAAGCUUUCAGUGGCACUCUGUUUCUUUCUGUGCCCUCCAGCCAGCACUGAAAUGCACCCCAACCAAGGACCAGCAGAACAUCCCUGCUGCUGCACUCACAGGAGCUCCAGCCCAACCGCACCAACAUGGACAGCUGCUUGUCACCCCGAGACAAGUUCAGAGAUAAGCACAGGAGGUUCUCAAUUUCAUGGAAGCCAGCUCAGACUAAAAGGCAGCCCCUUCAUUUCAAGAAACCUCAUUUUUCAUUUGUAAAACACUUUCAUUCAGAAAAAAAAUAAUAAGUGGGGGGGGUUGGAAGGGAAGCAGAGUGCUACCUCUCCCCAGCCAUAGCAAAUACACCUGCAGAGCAAUUUCCAUUCUUUGAAAAGAAGUUUUAAAACACGUUUUAAUGGGGCACCAGCAACUCCAGCAGUUGCCUGUUGCUUCCUAACUCCAUUUGCGUGUAAUUUUGUCAAAUGACAACUGUUUGGGCUGGAAUAUUCCAGGUUGGAGUCUGCCCCAGUACAUUAUUUUCUGCCUGGAAAUUUUAAGUGCUAAUCACUUAUCUGGAAGAAAAUAAGCUCUUUUUUCCCCCAUGCUUCAAGAAAUUUGGUGACCUUUCUUUUCGUGCCUCCAGGCUUUGGAAAAAGGAAUUGAAAUGUGACAGGUUUUUGGCUUAUGUGUCAGGAACGUGCUGCUUGCCUGCAAAAAAAAGCUGCAUCCAAUUUUUGCCAAGUUAUAAGCCUCUGAAGAGAAAAUCAUCUUACGAGUGCUCACUAAAGCUGGACUGAUUAAAAAAAAUCCUCUAGAAAUUCUUCCUGUCUUUUUUUCUGGUUUCACAGCUCCUCGUGAGCUUCUCACAGUUCUGCACCCAAGCAAAAGUGAAAUCCAGUGAGGGAAAUGGCUCCCCAGCUCCCCACCAACUACCUGGAACUAGAGGUGGUAGGGUGUGAGAUUGGCCUCCAGGGAGUCUAGAACAAAUGGCAGAGAGAAACAAGGGCAUGGGAGAAGGGAGAGAGAACAAGACCCAAGAGGAUCCAACAGGCAACAAAAGACCAAGUGCCUGGAGCACUGGGGGGACUGUGUGAGAACUCCUCAUGAGGAUGGCAACUUAAAGUACCUCUGCAGCAGGCUGCAACCAAGGGGUCUGGCAAAGUCAGCGUAUCUUGCUGCUCUAGUUAGCUGUCUCUUCCAUUUCUGCUACCUUGAGCUAAGGAAAUAGCCUGCCAAAGUAGGGGUAAUGCAAACCUCACACGGAGAAGACUAAUGUAGAUCUUAACUACAUGGCCUUCAUCAUUUUCUCCUCUAUAAUAUUGGAUGUGAAGUGCAAAAGAAAAAGUAAAAAGCAAAAGAGAAGAAAAACCAACCCAAAGCAAGUCAGAGAUCUGAAACUUUUCUGAUUAAAGAAACUUCCUACGAGAGUUCAAGAGGCACUUUCAGCAGCAGUCUUUGUAAAUAAGUGGGCUCUGUAAAUGAUGAGUGGGUUUGUAAAUAAAGGGAUGAUUGACAAGCUCAACAUCCACCAUGUCAAACAGAGCUACAAAGGAGGCCAGCACCUCUAAAUCAUGGUCCAUGAGGCCUUCCUAAAGCCUGUGAUGUGUGCCAAAACUGCCCCUUACCUCUGCUCUUCUUUUCUAGAUCCACUGAGACACAUCUUGUGGGGUACAGUUGCAUUCCUCAACAUUUUUUGCCUCCUUUUGCACCCACUGAAGAAUUUCCCACUGGCAAGAACUGGUGGCUAAUCACUUCAGGCACAGACUUUGCACAGAAUUAUGGGAUUUCCUCCUUCUUUAAGAUAAUGAACACAAUUGCUCAUAAAAAUGUGUUGUUGGUGUUUUUGAGUGGUAGGUUUUGAUUUAGUUGAUAGGUACGUUUUCAUCAUCACCACCUCAAUCCUGGUCCCACCUCCAAAAAAUGGUGCAGAAGCUUUUCCCUUGUGGCGCUUAUAAGAAUACAGGGGAUCUCGCUUUAAUCCCCAGCUUAGCUAUUACUUCUCCCCUGUGAUCACUAGUGAAUUACUCAGGCCAUUCAAAAGCAACCCUGAGCCUGUGCCUGCCUCCCACUGCUGCCACACAGCCUAGCAGGGCCACCCCACCAUCAGGCCAGCCAGAACCUUGAAGCCCUAGGGAAGGGCCCAGGGUGUAAGCAGGUUCAUCCAACCCCUGUGUGGUGUGAAGAACUCACUUGACAACUGCGAAGAGGGCACAGACCCCCCCCCCCCCCCCCCAGUCCCAUCUGCAACUGCAUGAAUGCCUGCUGCCUCUUUUCUCAGCUCCCCAUGGGCAAGGAGAAGCAGGCAGUACUCCAUCAAGGACAGCAGUUCUUGGGCAAAGGCAGUGUCUGUGACUGUAGGCUCACUAGCAGGAGCCAUGAGGCUUUCCCUUGGGGCUACCUGUGGCCAGGAACCCACAGGGCUGGUUACAGCAUCCUCAAAUGCCCGUGGGAGAUGCAGGUCAAGCGCAUAAGGCUGCAACAAGUGCCAUUCCCAGCACUGCUAGGUGUUUGACUACAUUCAAAAAUGCCAUCCACAUUUUGAGUUGCUUUUUUUCCUUUUUAUCACAACCUAGAUCGUUUUGUUAUCAGCCCUCUCUCAGUGUCGUCUCUUGAAGGUGGUGGUAGAGGAGGGAUCUGAUUAGUUCGGCUUCCAUUCUCCUGCCACUUGCCUCACCGAUGCAGACAGGAAGCUUCUGAGGACAAGAAAUGUCCCUUAUUACAUGCUUCUGCUCUGGGUAACCUCAUUUUGGUUUGGUGUCUAGACAGCAAUGCAGAGGAGAGCGUUAAUGAAAACGAAGCGCUGAAUUUUAGAAAGUUCUGCUCGACAGCCUCACAGCCACCUCCGCCGAAGAUGGAGCCAAGUCGUUGGGUUUUUAGAGGGUUGGCGUUUGCUGGAACUUUGGAGGGAUUCGUUCUUUUUUCAUUUGGGCUCCAACAAGCAGAUGACCUGAUUUGUGUGUGUACUCAUCACGUCACGCGCCACUUUAGUUAAACGAAGUAGGAAGCAGCAGAAAGAGACAUGCUGACUUUUUUUUUUUUUCAGAAGUUGCUCGGUACUGCUGGAAAAAGAAAAAUAGGUCACUUCAAGUGACCAGUAUGGAAAGAGAUCCCUCACAUUCAAAUUCCCUAACGCUGAGCCUAAGUGGUGUCCCAAAAGAGCAUUUGCUGUUUAUCUAUCUCCGCUUAUAACCGUAUGGGCCAAAUGUUUAUGUGUAUGUGACUUUCCUACAUAGAUACUUCAAGCUGCUAAGUGAUCUCUGUUCUGGCCGUUAUGAAUCUUUGUUUACGUUGCCAUGGCUUUGUAAAAAUGCCAAGAGAGAAUGAGGCUGGCCUCCUGGUAAUGUUUGUUGUGAAGCACUGUUGUAUGCAGACUCUGAUUCAUCAACUUGGGAAUCUUCGAACUUGGUGAUGAAAAAUAAAAAAGAAAACCAACAAAACAGGAAGGAAAACAGUGAAAACUCUGAUGCUCCUUGGGGAAUAUGAAGAGACACAGAUUUCAUUUAAGAUAACAAAAAAAAAAAAAAAAAGAGAAGAAA